UGUGAUGCCAUUGACUGCCUCAGUAGCGUAACUUCUAUUUCAACGUCUUAUAUCUUCUAUAAUAAUUGCCGUCUUAAUCAUCGAGUCAGUUCAUAAUUAAUCGUAAUAAUUGAUAAAUUACAAAGAUAAGUCGUGACGCUCCAAAGGCAGACUUGGUUAAGGGUCCUCUGAAAUUGAAGUUGAGUAAAUAACUGUCAAAAAGGAAGUGCAUUUUUUGGUUUUGGUGGGAACUUGUUGUGAAUGCUGUCCAUUUUAUUUUUCUAUUAUUCCAAACAGAGGAAAAUACCUUCAGGUCCUAACUAGAAUUGAGUAUUGUACAGAGAACAUCCAGUGAAAAUGGAAGGUGAAAAAUCGCCAUCAUUGCUGUUACUCAAAGAAGAGAAGGAGAAUCUGGAGGAGGGUCUAACUGAAAACACAGGGGAAGGCUCUUCGUUUGCAGACCCCUUCUUAGAAGUCAAG